UUACGUUCAUAUCAUGUUGAAUCGCCGGUUCUCGUACGAUCACUGAAGUUAAGCAACGUUGAACCUAGUCAGUAUCUAGAUGGGAAACCGCUUGUGAAUACCAGGUGC